UCUUUUCCUUUUUUUCCAUCAGCCGCGGUAAUACGUAGGUGGCGAGCGUUGUCCGGAAUUAUUGGGCGUAAAGAGCAUGUAGGCGGCUUAAUAAGUCGAGCGUGAAAAUGCGGGGCUCAACCCCGUAUGGCGCUGGAAACUGUUAGGCUUGAGUGCAGGAGAGGAAAGGGGAAUUCCCAGUGUAGCGGUGAAAUGCGUAGAUAUUGGGAGGAACACCAGUGGCGAAGGCGCCUUUCUGGACUGUGUCUGACGCUGAGAUGCGAAAGCCAGGGUAGCGAACGGG
rnacentral:rRNA from 1 species